UACGUAGGUGGCAAGCGUUGUCCGGAUUUACUGGGCGUAAAGAGCGCGCAGGCGGUCGUUCAAGUCGCGUGUGAAAGCCCCCCGGCUCAACUGGGGAGGGUCACGCGAUACUGAUCGACUCGAAGGCAGGAGAGGGUAGUGGAAUUCCCGGUGUAGUGGUGAAAUGACGUAGAUAUCGGGAGGAACACCAGUGGCGAAGGCGGCAUCCUGGACCGACACUGACGCUGAGGAGCGAAAGCCAGGGGAGCAAACGGG
rnacentral:rRNA from 1 species